rnacentral:rRNA from 1 species
CUUUGCUGGCGACCGGCGCACGGGUGAGUAACACGUAUCCAACCUGCCCUUUACUCGGGGAUAGCCUUUCGAAAGAAAGAUUAAUACCCGAUAGCAUAAUGAUUCCGCAUGGUUUCAUUAUUAAAGGAUUCCGGUAAAGGAUGGGGAUGCGUUCCAUUAGGUUGUUGGUGAGGUAACGGCUCACCAAGCUUCGAUGGAUAGGGGUUCUGAGAGGAAGGUCCCCCACAUUGGAACUGAGACACGGUCCAA